rnacentral:lncRNA from 1 species
AACCCUGCAAACUGAGUGAACAAACCAAACGAAGUCGGAAGCAUUCUGCUUGCUUUCAGAGACAUUAGUUUGGCAAGGUUAAAUCCAAAUGGCAUGAAAGCACUGAUGGCAGGUACCAAAGAACACGCACAGAACCCCCAAACCCUCAUCUGAGGUCAUACAGGAACGUGCAUGGAUGGAAAUGGGCAGCCACGUGGGAAGAAAUGCUGUGUAUGGAUACUAGAAUGAUGCUGGAUUUGUAUGUCCCUGUUUACUAUGACUAAUACGACGUAAUUGCAAGGGAUGAAGAAGAUACAGACAGCAUCUGAAUGGAGAAAAUUUUUCUUCUUCUAUUCCUUAUAUUCUCAUCUCCAACAAAGAACGUUCAGCAGAAGAGACCAGAAGACAGAAGGUGAUAAAAAAGGACAAGACAGCAACAGUGAAAAUGAGAUGGAUGUUGAAAAUAUAAGAAUAUGCCUAGAAAUAAAUCAGCAAGAGGAAGCAAAGCAUACAAAUGGGAUAAUAUAGUACAUCACCAACACACAGAGAGGAGACUAGACUAUAAAAACACACUAGAGUUCAGUGUAAAGCAGAUAUGGACUUCUCAGUGAAGUUCACGCCACUCCUGUUUUAGCCUGGGAAAAUUUUAUUUCAGCUGAAAUAAUAAUAAUACAGCAGUCUUUGGAAUAAAUAUAUCAGAUCAUACUGAAUGACCUCUAUUUCCCUGAGGAGGAUACCCUUGGGCAAGAACACAAUGCUAUAACUGUGAAAAUGUUUACUUCAUCUCUUCAUGAUUUUGUUGACUGUCCAAAAGAUAUUAUGCAGUCCACUGCACCUGCCAAUGUAGCCCUAGGGAUGUCAAGGUGGACUGUCAGAGGCCCUGCUCUGCACAGCUUCAUACAACAAUGAAACAAGCCUUAACUUCCUCAAAAUGCUAUGGAAAAAAGAAAUUUCUGCACAACAACAUGAAAGCAACUCAGUAGGGAAAUGUGAGCCAUUGCAGCCACAGGUAAAGCAAUCGAACCACGCCAAAGCAAUUGAGGUAUUAGGUGGUGUGGAUCAAGACGAUUUCCCACAGGACUGUGAAAACUGCCAUCAUUCCUGUAAUCUGUUUGAAGAACUUUUAACAGUUCUAGUGACAACACUGACAAGUAAAUGCUUUCCCAGAUUUUUAAUCCUUGAAAUUUCGAUUGACAGAAAAAUAAUUAAAGUUUCCUCACUAAUGCAAGGGAAAACAAGCAAUUCAUUCUUACGUGACUGGCUUCCUUUUCACAGUUUUUUGAUGGUUAUUAUUAUUAUUAUUAUUAUUAUUUCUACUGCAGUGCUAUCUAGAAGCACAGAUACAUUCAAGACCAUGUUUUUCAAGCAUCUGCACAAUCUCAGAGUGAGGAAUUGUCUUUUGCUCUAGAGAGUUAAUUGAGUAAAGGCUUAUCUUUUCCUCCAUUGUAAUGCUUUAAUUUAAAUGGAUUUAGGUUCUGUGUCUGGACUUUGUCAUACUGCUAUAAAACUGAGUUAUUGUGAUUUAGCUUAUGCCUGAAAAAUUGUUUCUGAGAAUUGCACUGUUAUAUUGUUACAGCUUUCUGUGUAAAAAAAGGCCUGAAUAAGGCAGGGUGGGGAAGGGGAGAAGAGUGAGGCAGGAGAGGCUGCCUGAUUUGCCAGAGAUCACUUUUGUGCUAUUUAGUCCAGCAGGAAAGCGUGGGCUGGGACACAUGAGCACGUGGGAAAGCUGGGCAGUCCUGCGGCUGUUGGUGCCAGGGUCCAGCACCUCACAUUGCUCUUGGACAUCUGCUGCAACAGGAUCAAAGGAGCGUGAAACCCCGAGAUGAAGAUUAUGUUUCUGCAUGGAGACCUUGCUUCCGGCAAAGGCAUCUACUGCCCUCCGGCAUUUCAGUGAAAGAAGUUGCCAUCACUUUUGUCUUCUGCUUUCAUAGUUGUUCAGUGAUAAAGGAGUCAGCUUUGCACCRCUUUUAUGUCUACCUUGAACCAAUAAACAUUAUUUUAAAAAUAAAUGUGAAGAUAUG